AACGGGGGGAGCGAGCGUUAUUCAUCUUUACUGGGCGUAAAGGGUGUGUAGGUGGUUUAAUAAGUCCAAUAGUAGAAAAUCUAAGCAAAACUUAGAAACUAUUUUGGAUACUGUUAAUCUUAGAGGACUUUUAAGGUUUGUUGUAUUCUUGAUGUAAAGGUGAAAUUUAUAGAUAUCAGGAGGACGAGCGAAAGGCGUAGGCAACGUACUAGAUUGUUUCUGACACUGAAACACGAAAGCACAGGUAUCAAACGGG
rnacentral:rRNA from 1 species